GAUUGGAACAAGAUGAUUGAUAUACAUCAUUGUUCAGACGGAAUAUCGAAAUUCCGAUUUUAUGUUGUUUUACUUUGCAUAUGUAUUUUCGGCCAAAAACUUCUUUAGGGGGUUGGAAUAUAGGUAUUUUCUCUCCUCUCGAGCUUUUCUGAAAUACAUUAAAAAUAAACGAAAGUGAGUGUAAGAAAAGUCAUCGUUUAAGAAUCGCCUCCUCUUGAAAAUAAUUUCCGUGGUACCCCGAUGAUGGAUUAAUAAUGUAUAAUAAGAGACUAAAUUCACCGGUGACAUGUCC